CUACGGGAGGCAGCAGUGGGGAAUAUUGGACAAUGGGCGGAAGCCUGAUCCAGCAAUGCCGCGUGUGUGAAGAAGGCCUGCGGGUUGUAAAGCACUUUCAGUCGGGAGGAAAAGGAUUCGGUUAAUACCCGGAUUCGUUGACGUAACCGACAGAAGAAGCACCGGCUAACUCCGUGCCAGCAGCCGCGGUAAUACGGAGGGUGCGAGCGUUAAUCGGAAUUACUGGGCGUAAAGCGCGCGUAGGCGGCUAGAUCAGUCGGGUGUGAAGGCCCCGGGCUUAACCUGGGAACUGCAUCCGAUACUGUCUAGCUUGAGUACAGGAGAGGAGAGUGGAAUUCCACAUGUAGCGGUGAAAUGCGUAGAUAUGUGGAGGAACACCAAUGGCGAAGGCAGCUCUCUGGCCUGAUACUGACGCUGAGGUGCGAAAGCGUGGGGAGCAAACAGGGUUAGAUACCCGGGUAGUC
rnacentral:rRNA from 1 species